rnacentral:lncRNA from 1 species
CUACACACUUAGUCAUUAAUCAUGAAAAGGUACUAUAAAUGCAGUGGACAAUCUGACAGUGGCAUAAUGUAAACAAAUAUUUCCAUCCCAAUGGCCUAAAGUUGACCAAAUUUCCAGGAAAGUGUCCAACCCAUAUGGGGAGGGGCAAUCCCUUUCUGGCAUGUCAGUCACAUCAGGGUGUGCACUUGUCCUGUCACUUGGAUCUGUGGAAAACUUGAAUUUGUCUUAUGUCACACUUUCACUCGGGUAUCUAUUAGGUGUCUCAGCCACUCACCAUCUCCUCAUCAAUUCUAUCCUCCAUUUGUUUAAGUUCUAGGAUUUGUAGCUGCUGUGUUUAUCUGCAGAUGAUGGUCAAUAGAGUCCCUCUGGAACCUAACUUCAGACAGCACAUAGAGUGUCUGCACUCUCUGUAUCCCAGAGUCAGCAUGAGACAAAGCCCAACAACACAUGUGGACUCUUCCCUCUCACCCUAAAGGACAUGCUGAUCCAUUAGCUUCCUGAUACACAACAUGCUGACAUCCAGCAGUCAAUGGCCUUAGCAGUUCUUCAUGGCCUCUGGCUCUCUCAAGUGCAGUCUUUAGUCAUUCAGGAAAUGGGAAAGGAUCCAUAACUUCUCCCUUCUCUGUACUUGCUCUAGUGUCCUUCCCUCCUGAGUGCUUUUGCAGUUCCCCUAGUUAUAAUCUACAAAGGGAGGUCUCAUUCAGUCGGAGGUUCUGAGAAAGGAUGAUUCUGCCAUUGUCCUGGGGACCUGGGUUUAAGUCACCCUCACAACUAAUUUCUUUCCCUCCUUCAGCUUCCUUCCUGCAGAUAAUGGUGCAUUUGAGGCCAGGACAGUCAUGGAUUCCUGAGGAUCCAAGGACAGUGGCUCAUUGUUGCUAAGGAUCCCAACUCAAAUUAGCAACACUGGACUGAAAACACAAACUAAAAUCCUCCUACCUGAGCAAGGUAUGCAGAAAAAAUGAGAGACUGCUGUUCUCAGGUACAAGUGUCCAUAUAGAAUCUAUAGUGAUGAUCUAUGCCUGGCAGAGGAACAAUGGUCAACUAUCUAAUGGGCCCCCUCAAAGUCUCCCUGCAGCUCAGAAGAACACCAAGGGCCUCAGCUCUGUCAUUCCUGUAUCACUGUGGAGCAUCUGCCAAGAAUGGACACCAGCAUCUGUAGACCAGGGAGAGACUGGUUCCCACACUUUAGUUCCGUACGCCCAAACAGUAAAACAACAUCCUAUCCCCUAAUGAGGUAUGUACAUAAUGAUAGAGGAUUCUCCACACAAACUUGAUUCACAAGAACAGGGCCUCUUUGGUAGCCACCCAAACCAUCUGAAACCAGGCAAGAAGACGUGAGCAGUAGCCUUCGAUCCCUGUACCUCAAGAGCAAAUAACACUCAUUCUGAUAGGAUACAUGAGCUGGUCCUCGUUUAUCUUCAUUCUCCAAUUCCUUCUAUCUCCUAUCCACAUGAAGACCUUUCCUUCCCAUGCUCUGAUCGAAUCUUGUUCUGCAAUUCAUGGAACACAUUUGAAAAGUCGAUCUGGACCUCCAUGUCCUCAUUUGUCCGUAUGGACCUUCAGGAUGGACAGUCUCUGGAAGAUCCUGUGACAGCUGCAGGAUGGGCUGAGCAGCUGUGUUUGUCCAUAUCUACGGCAGAAGCACUUGAGCCAAUAGACUACCUAACAGUGCCAUCCUGCCCUUAACAAUGAAGUGAGGAUUCCCCUGUCUCCAUAUGAACCAACCUGCCUGCCCCAACACUGUGCUAAUGUCGCUGCGGGAACACUAAGGACAUGAGGACUAUGAGAGUAGGAUGCUGGAUGCAAAAAAAUGAGUCCCCUUUUAAUACUGAGGCUCAGGCCUCAAAGGAGGUGGACUGCAAGGGUGAGAGCUGAGUGUUCCUUCUGGAUAUGAGUCAACACCAGCACGCAGGAAUCCACCAGGUUUGGAUGGACGAUGCAUCUGACCAGAAGAGGGGAGUAGUAAGUUUCUGGGGUACACUGAAAGAUCCCUCACUCUGUGUAAUUACCCAGGAAAUGAAAUAGUCUUGUCCAUGUGGACAUUGGUGCCCAAAUGAGAAAAAUAGUGUAUAUAUCCUGACCACUUAAAAGUCAUGCUUUUUCUGAGAGAACCUCUGAGCUCGAAAGACUGUGAAAUAGUAUGUCUGCCUGUACCAGAAUCUUUCCUGAGUAGAGAAUUUCAUCAGGAAGGAAGAGGCCCAGAGCAUGCACAUAUGUUGAACUCUUGAAGGGCACCCAGUUUGAAAGAGAACAUCAAAGGCCUGAAUCACUGUGAAACAUGCUGUCUGCAAGUACUAGAACACUUCCUGAGAGCAAGGGACACUGCCAAACCACUAGAGCAAAAGUUAUGAUGGAUAAAGAGACAGGUGUUCUGGUGACCUGUAACCCCAUCAGGAGCCCUGAGGGUCACCUCCUGCUAAACCAAACAUAACCUUUAUCAGUGAAGGUCACUCCUGAGAAACCCUGUUGAGAAACCCUGCAGACAGGAAAGCCAAGGAGGCCUCCUCCUUCCCAUUGUCAUUGUCUUUUAAGGGAGCUUGAACAGGUUGGCUCCUACAGACUUCUUAAAAAGCCUGGAACACUCUGCUAAUUCUGUGUUCCCGUACUCUUCAACUGAGUCAAGAGAAGAAAACAGAUAUUUGGAACUCUGAUCCAAUCAAAUUAAUAUUCUGGUGAUCAGAAGCCAAGACUGUACAGAGAUUUCUGAGGCCUCUCCAGGAAUUCUGUCCAGAAUCACGCUCUGGAGGACUUCAGUGUGCGAGAAUGUACAGUACAUUGGAUGGACUCUGGGGUCUAAGGAAUGAAGUUUGUCCUCAUUAGGACAAAAAGAUACAAGAGGAACGCCCGAGUACAUAUAGAACACAGGGUGCCAUGAUGUGGAGCCCGAAGACAAGGGAGGCUGCUGAACACUCUAAUGCCUGUAUGAGUGAACUUGGACAUGAACAGUGUAGCUGGAUCUGUUUGCCUUCAGUUCAAGCUGCAAUGUUGUCACCAUCUCCUCUUUAAGCCCAUGUAUCCUUGACAAGGUUGUUCUGCCCUUCAAGCUCAUAUGAUGGUUGUGCAUGUAGGAGACCUAGCCUUCUGUCACCAAGGAAACAGAAAGCAGAGGAGGAAUGUGACCGUGGGAGGCUGCAGGCAAAAGUGAUGUGGGGCCACAACUGUACCUGGAAGCUACAUGGUACAAUCCCUGAGGCCCUGUUCAGACCUUCAUUCUAUUCUGGUGUCUUCCUAGUGACAGCCCUGCUAGCCAAUGACAACAACUUCUCCCUGAUCUUCCCCAGCCUUGCUUCCCAGUCCUGAGACUUGAAGAGCACAGAGGAAGGCCUCUUGUAGGUCAGUCACUGGCUCUGGACCAUUGACCACUACCACUGCUUUUACUUGGGAUGGUGUUCAAAUUGUGGGAUGUCUGAGAAAGCUGGGUUCCACGUUUUUGCUAUGCAACCUGUUCCUCACGUCCUGGACUUUGCCGGCUCCAGUCCUCAGUUGCCAUUCAGUAAGCAUUGUGACGUGUAAGGCUCUCAGGAGAAGCCAGAUCCCAGUGGCAUUAGUGUGACAAACAAGCUGUGCCCAAGGAGCUGACACUCUGGCAGAGUCCAGGACAUCCAGGAAGACAGAGGUGGUGAGGUAAGUCUGCAUCAAAACAGGUAAAAACAGUAAUAAAACUGUCAGUUCCCAUCCUUGUACAGGUUGUUGGGAAACACUGUCCCUGAGAAGACAGCUCUGUCGAGCUGAGCCUGGAGAGAAAGAAGGCAUGAGAAGGAAGGCAAUGGCAGCCAUGUGACAGGCAGCCAUCAAGACCUGACAAGUGUCUGUGAUACUGUCAUAGAUAUUUAUGGACACCCUAAAAGGACAUUUAUUGUGUUUCAUCUCUUAAUGAAAUGCUGUUCUCCACGCACAUCACAGACCCUGGGAGUGUUGGGUAUUGCUACCUGCCAAAGGCCUGAAGUGUGCACUACUGCUGGUGGUGGGAUUGUCAGAAGGUGAGGAGGCCAUCCUGAUAGAGAGACAGUGUAGGAAUCCCAGAAACAACAGCCAUGUUGCUGCAUGUGGCUAACCAUCGUUGAUUUUGCAUGUCAGUUUCUAAGCCGGUAAGGAGUGCAGAUAAAAACUGUCACCAGAGGUAAUCCUGAACCUCGGUUGUACACCAGCACUGUAGUUGGCUUUAUCUCCCAUGCAGACACUCAGUCUCCCUCAGCACACCCUCUUACUGUCCAGGAAUUUUCUUAGCUAUACAAAUAACACACUGGGUUGUUACAGGUCGAAUGACCUAGCCAAAUCCUGUGUUCUCUUACAUUCUGUCCCUGUCCUCUUUUUAGAUAUCACCAACUAUGACUCUGACAUCCAAUGAAGCAGUCGAGGGCCAUGAUGCUUUUCUGACUGAGGCAACACAGCCUGGAGCCCAAAUCCCGAGGCUGUGCACCAAAGUCCUUCCGUUUGUCACUGAUCCUGGUGCUUUCCCACAAGAAGUUGCUCAAUGUGGCUACCAGGGAGGCCAAACAUAAGCCUGUGUCUGCAGACAGGAGGGCACCAACAAUGUGUCAAGCAACCUCAUCUGCAUCGUCACAAGCAUCUGCAGUGUGGAUAUCUGGUCAACAUGGUCGUUUGACAGUUGUGGAGCCCCUCCCACCAAUAAAGGUUAGCAACUUGUCGGGCUUUCAUGGCAUUUAUGGCAGCUAGAUUGUGCUUCUUUGAGUAAGUCCAAAUCAGUGCUACUAGGUAUGUAUGAUGCUUAUACACCUUACCCUAAUUUAAACAGAUGGUGUGGGCACUGAGAACAUGUAGCCCUGCAAAGCAUUUUAAAUUAUUCACAUAUUUCUCAUUUACCUAUUCACUCUCCCCUACAUCCUGUCUGUAGUCUGUCUCUUCUCUCUCUUCUCUGUUUUUAUAUCUUUUGUUCCGUCUUUUUCUCAUUCUUGGCAUCUGUUUCUGACUCUCUCCUGUUCUCUUUCUUACUGCCUAGCUGCCUCUUUGUCUGUCUAUACAUCUGUCUCUCCCUUGCUCUAUCUCUGUCUCUCUUUCUCUGUCUCUCUCUUCCUCUCCCUCUACCUACCCCCCCUCUAUCUCUCUCUCCCUCCCUCCCCAUCCUCUCUCUCCCUCUGUGUGUGUGUGUGUGUGUCCAUGCAUGUGGGGGCAGGUAGCAUGUAUAUUUCCUGGAGAGCCUGUGGAGGUCAAAGUUUAACUCAAGUGAGG